rnacentral:rRNA from 1 species
AGUGAACGCUGGCGGUAGGCCUAACACAUGCAAGUCGAACGGCAGCACAGUAAGAGCUUGCUCUUACGGGUGGCGAGUGGCGGACGGGUGAGGAAUACAUCGGAAUCUACUUUUUCGUGGGGGAUAAUGUAGGGAAACUUACGCUAAUACCGCAUACGACCUACGGGUGAAAGCAGGGGAUCUUCGGACCUUGCGCGAUUGAAUGAGCCGAUGUCGGAUUAGCUAGUUGGCGGGGUAAAGGCCCACCAAGGCGACGAUCCGUAGCUGGUCUGAGAGGAUGAUCAGCCACACUGGAACUGAGACACGGUCCAGACUCCUACGGGAGGCGGCAGUGGGGAAUAUUGGACAAUGGGCGCAAGCCUGAUCCAGCCAUACCGCGUAGGUGAAGAAGGCCUUCGGGUUGUAAAGCCCUUUUGUUGGGAAAGAAAAGCAGCAGGUUAAUACCCCGCUGUUCUGACGGUACCCAAAGAAUAAGCACCGGCUAACUUCGUG